GAGGGUAUAGCUCAGUGGUAGAAUGUGUGCUUAGCAUGCAUGAGGUCCUGGGUUCCAUCCCCAGUCCCUCCA
rnacentral:tRNA from 1 species